GAAUGAUACAGAGAAGAUUAGCACGGCCCCUGUGCAAGAAUAACACGCAAAUUCAUGAAGUGGUCCAGAUUUUU
rnacentral:snRNA from 1 species